UACGUAGGGUGCGAGCGUUGUCCGGAUUUAUUGGGCGUAAAGAGCUCGUAGGCGGUUUGUCGCGUCGGCCGUGAAAUCUCCACGCUUAACGUGGAGCGUGCGGUCGAUACGGGCAGACUUGAGUUCGGUAGGGGAGACUGGAAUUCCUGGUGUAGCGGUGAAAUGCGUAGAUAUCGGGAGGAACACCAGAGGCGAAGGCGGGUUACUGGGCUGAUACUGACGCUGAUGCGCGAAAGCUAGGGGAGCAAACGGG
rnacentral:rRNA from 1 species